ensembl:lncRNA
CAAUAAACCAUGAGAACGUUUUAAGAAAAGCAUGCGCGUGUCCCCGCCCCCUUAAGCGGAGCCGUUCGGGGUGUUAUGGUGGAAAACACAAAAGCUUCUGGGGUGUUUUUUGAGGCAAGCUUCGCUCACAACAGCCGAGUCGGGAGGCGGGGGGGUUUGGGGGGGCUUCUGAUGAUCAAAGUGUUGGGAAGUCUGUGCUCAGCAGGUAGAGAAUGUGUUCUGGUUGCUUGAAGGAUCCACUUUAUAAACAAACCCUGAAAACGCAGAAUAUCAUGGCGCCAUAUGGACGUCACUGCGAGGGAGAAGACUGCUGAAAGAGGGAAGAAACAAACACGCAGCAGAGCAAACAGCCCACCGGCGUCUUUCUCAACCACAUUGCUUUUGUGGUUUUAUUAAUACGAACAAACGCGGCCCCGUGGUUCUGAAAUGUUGUUUGGGGGAAUCUUCUUCAAAGCCUUUUGGUCCCCGGACACUCGUCCCCUGUGAUGUCGCGUCUUGUCAGAGGACAAGGACAAGCACAAUGGAUGACACAGAGAGGGAACACGUUACCGCCGACAAAGGACGGGAGCCUGACAUGACCGCCGCGUGUCACGCGGACCCGAGAGCUGACACGCACGACUGUGACUGUUUCAUAAUUCAUCAGAUCUCGCCCGAGAAAUGAAACAGAAGCCGCUGUCAGGAGCGUUUAAUCCGGGCCGCAGCCGGAGUGAAGACGUCGACAGUCUGUCCGCUCCGUUUGACGCUGGGCUCGUCGUGGCUUCUGCCAAACACCUCCGCGGUUAAGUGACGGGGAACGAAGGACGCGUGGAGGGAGGCGGGGCCCGCGAGGGCCCGGGAGACAACGCGGCGCCACGGCCCGGCGUGAGCGCGUCACAGAACUCAAAGGCACAACUUCAGAUGGGAUCACGGUCGCGGCUUCGCUUUCACACUAAAGUCCUUUUGGUCUUUUUUACCGACAUGGCGUCACAUGAUCCGCGGCCACUGAAGCUCACGUGGUCGCCGACGACGAGGUUCAAAGUCACCUGCUGCCACCGCGGCUCCGUCGUGUUCUCCACGAGGUGAGAAAAUGUCUGUUUCUGCUUCAUGACUGUAAAACCCUUUCAUGUCGGCUUGACGAAAACCUCAUUCUAGCAAUUAUUUCCCACAUAACCACAUUUUGAAGUGGAGAUGUAAAACGUUAUCAUGAAUCAUCCCGGCUGUUUGCAAUGGAACAAAGCAACAAAUACAAUUAGUGUUGCUUUUUAUAGCAGGAUUUAAUGAUCUGGACUGAAAUGGCAGCCGCCCCGAGCUAACUGGGUGGAUUGAGGGCGAUGCCGCUCGUGUGGCUCUUUUCAUUGCGCGGGGAAAUCGAUCGGGCGUAUAAAUAUAAAAUCUAUAUCCUCACUAUCUGAAUCUAAUAUCAAACCAUCGAAUAUAACUCGUUGCUAUUGUUUACACGUCACUGACGUGGAACAAACAGAUCAAUUACGCAUCAUCGUGGACUCGCUCUCAGGCACGUACCCGUGUCUAUACAUAGCAGAGGGUUUCUGGACAAAUCCCAGGUCAGGAUCCCUGUCGGCUCUGAGAGGGGCGUGUGUGCACUAGUAAAGACAUAACUGCUUUAAGAGCUCGGCAACGGUUAUUUUCAAAGACGAGAUUGAGUGGUAUUACCCUCUAACCCUAACUGUCCAAGCACUGUUUCUAUGCCAACAGCAGAAGAGUCUUUUCAUUCUGACUGGCUACUGUGUGUGUGUGUGUGUGUGUGUGUGUGUGUGUGUGGACGUUCUGCCGAGCUAUUUCCUAUUCACUGCCGUUUUAAAUUGUACACACCACCUGGCCGCACACGUAACCAUCAGCCACAUGCGUCGGUUCAGCAGCAGCAGCCCCUCCAGCCCGAUGCCUUCACACUCCGGACCCUUCCAGCAAGGAUCCAAUCAGCAUGCGUGAUGUCCAGCGCCUCGUAUUCUCACAAGGCCUCAUUUUGCAGGUCGGGGGGGGGGUGCGAUGAGAGCUCAGCGUUAUAAUUCCUCACUGCUUUAUAGCUUUUUCCAACUCAAUGGUCACCGAGAACAAGUGUGUCACUUAACAAAUGGGCUGCUUUGCUCAAUAUGCAAUUAACCUAUAUCGCUGGAUGGAAGUUUUCAGUCCACCGAGGAGAGUUUUCAUAGAGUGAAUAUCUAAAAAUGGCUGCGUACGGUGCAGAGAUCAAUCCCCUUUCUCUCCAUUGAUUCCAUUAAAAGCCUUUUUGGAGAUUGAUUACACUGAAAGCUUCCCUCCGCUUUAGAUUACAGUUGCACAAUUCCAAUCUCAUUUUUUACAGCCCAUAGAUAUGGGCAUUUAUUCUAUUACGGUGGAAGGUGCAAAGCCUGGAGCCUGAACAUCAGAGACCACCCUUUUCUACCAAUAAUGCUUUAGAUAGUAGAACAUCCGUUUGACUAUUGGUACGGCCCUGCGUUCUCCGAUAAGCGUUAUCACACCUGUCAUUCCUUUUGCCGGAUCAGUUUUCCGCCAUCAAGAUCAAAAUGCGUGUUUCAUGAAAAUCCGACAACAGCCCUGCGAAGAAAGACGAUUCAACCUGUUUUCAGCUCACGGACACUAUUUCGGUGCAGCGGGCGCCGCGUACACCUGCAUUCUUAUUCCGGUAGUCUACCAGCAACAGCAAGUCGAAAAAGCCAAUGAAAACAGAAUGCAUUGCACAUAUAGAUGUAUAUGUAUAUAUACAGAUAUGUAUAUUUCUUUGUGUGCCGUAGCUCUCAUUUCUGAGGCCUUAUCUCUGUAAUGGAAUAUUUAUCAGUAAAGAAUACAGCAAAAAGAAUGCCGCCCCUGGCAACUGAAUGCAUAAAACAUUUAGUUAUUUCCUUGUGUUUGUAUAUCAACCGGAGAAGUGAUGAAGAAUAUUAAGGGCUGUAUAGUGGGGGGUGGGGGGUCCUUACUCAGCACCUUGUGGCCGUUGCCAUCUCCAGGGUUAAAUCUGGGGCAGUGUCCUCGCCGGCCCGCUGAGGGAUUCAUUUAUUCACCGCCCGUUUCUGCUGAGCGUUCCACUCUCUGCAGGUGGGAUGUUUAUGGAUACGUCCUGAAAGUAAUAUGAAAGCAAUAACACCGCACAACAUCUCGGUUAUUUCACUGAAGAAUUGAUCAGAUGUGUCACUUGAAAUUGCAUUUUUUUUGUUGUUGUUUAAUACAGUGUGCGUUCCUCACUGCGGUGCAGCCGUGUGACAGACAGCCGGCUUUUUGCAUGUGGCUGCGCGUGACCUUUCCCUGCUGCGCUGCUUAGUGCAGUCCGCUGGCAGACUUGGGUGUUGUUGCCGAAUGGAUAAGCGCUCAUCCUGAAACCCGUCCCCCGUCCCCUCCAUCCUCCACAUCGCCCGAAGGCUGCUUCCCCCGCUUGGCCAGCCGCUCCUUCCGUCGGGGGGGUUUGGCGGCGCAGGAUGCGUCCUCGCGCCCGAAUGCCGGAUGAUGGAGAACUAAAAGAAACGGGGAAUAAAGUCUACGACUAGUGUGGCCUUAAAGCAUCUUCUUCAUUCAUUGUAGGUGUCAAAACAGUGUCACAUGAUAAUUACAUGUGAGGUUGAACCCCAAAAUGUCUGUAUUUUUAGGCAUUGACAAACCAACUAAAUGAAAUGUGAGUGACAAAGAGGUGCUGUAUAUAAACAACAAUACGCUGUAUGUGCUAACAGACACAUUUUUAAAUCCUCUGGCGGCGUGUUUAAGGCUUAGAAACACCACUUACAGGAGCCCCGCGUUGCUGCGGCUGCACGCGGAGCCUUUGUUGAGUACGAGGGGAGGCGCUCUUCCCUUGCAGUGCUGUUGUUGUCGCUUGUUUCGUUCAGCUUCACUUCCUUAAUUGGAACUCCUGUCACACGGCGGACUGCAAACUUUAGUUUUGCCCGAGUCCACCUUGUAGCUAACUACAUGUAGGCAGCGGAUGGGUUUAGCUGGGCUAAAGGUGUCGAUGCUCUCCAGUGCUUGAAUUAGAAUUUCAUUGAUAGCGUCUAAACGUUUCCAGGCACUGAGUACCGCUGAUUGUUUUGUGAAACCGCAGCAGGACGAGUGGAUGCAGCUGUACGUGAGGAUGUGUGCAGCGCGUUCACCGGCAGCAGCGUGCAAGGUCUCAAACCACGAAUGAAUUCGCUCGUUUCUCCUCCAAACGUUCUUUCGUUCGUCGUUCACGUGCAUGAUGCGUGACCUCUGCCUUUAACCCUCCCCGAGCAUCCGUAGGAGCACCGGGCCGCUGCGAAGCACCCGGGGAGCCGCUUCGGGGGGAUCCGUGUCCUGGUCAAGGACGCUUCCACGCGUGACAGUUUAACCACGAGGUUAAAGGACGAGCCGCUCUCCCCACCGAGCCACAUCUGCCCCAGUUUUUUUUCAGCUCGUGACCUCGACCUUUCCUCAAGCUGCAAGGACACCAACACAUUUUUUGAAGUUGGUUAAUAUAAGAAGUCGUUGGCCUAUUUGUAUUAUGCUUCCACACACCAGGUAGAAAUGGUGGUAAUCUAAUUUUGAGGGGGGUGUUUUUUUCGUGAACUUUUACUGGAGUUUGUUGCAUAAACACGACCCACAAGCAGCUUUGUACCUUUUUAGAAAGAGCGUUUCCCGUCAACGUGAAUAACUAAACAGUUUAGUUGAAUAGAAACGUAAAUUUGUUGCAGAUAUUAUCGCGGCUCGCCAAGCGUUGAAAGAAAGAUAAAUCUUGAAUUGAACUUUUUUUUACAAGGACCAAGGAUUGUGGAGGUUGUCCCCUAAAUGACUUACUGUGAAAUUGGGUUAUGUCUUUGCAGCCAAUAGACAAGAGGAGCAAUUCCAGGAGCAGUAACCCUUUUAGUGUUCAGUCGUGACUGAAGACUCUUUCCCGCAACCUUUCCAUGUUCUGGUCCAAGUAGUCACCUAACCUCGUAGUCUAAUUCCCGUGCACGGAUUUGUACGAAUAAUUGAUGUAAGAACGAAAACGUUAUCAUUUGUCAUUCAAAAUGUCGCUGAUCGGAAUGCCACGAGGGACGUUUUCACACAAAAGGUCAUUUGACUCGUCACCGGGAGAACGACUCAACCCACGAACGCAGCCGCUCAAUGUCUGAACCAAAGAAUAUAAGCAGUCAAACAAAACAUCUCAUUAUCAGGGGUUAUUUUCUUGAGAGCCUCCUCUACAAAUUGGGGACAUGAAACGUCUCGGGGUUCCGGCAGAGAAAGUUCUGUUUAUUAGGGAACACGGACGAGCCGGCGUUGCAUUUUUCACCAGCGAAUCCAUGAAAAAUAAUACAACUGACAAUCUACCGCAUCCAAAACAAAUUAAAUCCCUGCAUGAUGUAUUCAACUGCUGCACCAAUCGAAAGGAGUCUCCCGGAGGCACCGUCCAUCUGCCACGCGGCGGAAGUCAGCGGCGGAGACGACGUUCCUGUCCUCCCUUAAAACAAGCCGUCAAAGCGACGCGGACGCCGCUCCUCAAGCCCUCGAGAAGAGUCCACGUGCUCCCGCGCGUCGCAUCGAGGGCCGACUGGGAGCCACGGAGACCAACCGGUGACGUAGGGGCAGUUCUUUGCAUCAGUGACAGAUCCCUUUCAUAUUGUACCUCCCCCCUCAGAAUGCUGAAUGCUGAAUUUCCCCUUUUAUGAUAUAAAAAUGUUCAGGAUUCAAGUGGUUUCUCCUCUCGCACACCGGCCCCACAGAGCCUCCCUGUGCCGUGUGCUCGGCUGGCCAGUGUGCCGAGUGUCUCGGGGGCUCAGCUCAGGCUUCAGCCGGCCACGGCCACCUGAACUGCUUUCUCCAUUGUGACCCCAGGCGGCACGCGGGCUGCUGCUUCAUUAGGUCGCUGCACCACCUCUAGCCAGGAGGGGAUUUGAAGGCAGGUCCAGUCUGGAUUACCAUAUGGCUCCUCUUGGUCCACGCUGUCAUGAAAUAUGAAUCCAACGCCAAGACUACUGCUCCUAACGCGCUCAGGAGUGUCACACAUAUACGGCCCGACACAGUGGGAGCUCCGGGCGCAUGGAUGUUGCAAAGAUUUCAUCACGCUUGGAAGGCAGGAGUUUUCAUAUUGUGAGUUGCUGGGUCCACGGCGGCGUCCUCUUUGUUUACCUUGGCUCGGUCCGCAUUGUCCUCAUCUCGUCCAGCGCGCAAAACAGACGGGAAAAGGUGUUGGAAAAAUUGCCUUUUGGGGAAAGCUCGUGAAAAUAUUCUCGUUCUCCAUUCACACCCCCUAAAUUAAUGCAGAUUAAUUCAAAUCAAAGGCCUUUGUGGAAACUGCACCUGCAAACAUUUGACUUUUUCACUGCAGAGACACAAUCUGUGUGUCAGGUAAGGAAGUGGUUUAAUCUCUUCAGGCCCAGAGGUGGCUUAAGUGGCAGAGACCAGAUGGUGGAAUCAACAUGCCCGGGAGGCAAACACCGACUGACAAGACAGCCGAGAGUCUUCCAUGAUGAAGUGUGUGCAUUUGAUUUCCCCACUCAUCCCUCUCUCAAACCGGGUUGUUCAAUAUUUUCCAUGAGCAACGAGUCAAAUGAAUGAAAAUGUGCACCGAAAAUAAAUUCACCAUUAAGCGGUCGCGUCGCUCGAUUCCGUCUGUCUGCGUGAUGGACGAGUGCAACAGCUUUCGGAUUCAACUUGACGAACCUCUUCAGUGACAUUUCUGAAAAACAAUAUCCUGAACUGCCGGCCGAAGCGGUGGGACAACCUUCGGGGUGUUGAAUGUCACCAUCUGUCGAGGACCUGCUUAGUCAAAGUCAUUACGGCACGUGGAGUGGAGCUCCUGCUCAUGAGGGCCGCGCUUUAUUGCACAGAAGCUCAGGUGGACCCUGAUCGGAUUUCAGAGGCUCAGUGGGCCGUCGGUGGGAGCGCGUGGUUUCACAUUAUCCACUUCUAAUUGUUGGGCGCACCCAACAAUCCGCUCUGUAAAACACUUGAUUUUUAUUGAUUUAUUUGGCCAAUUAGAUAUCACAUAGUAAAACUACUGUGUUUGUCCGUAAAACAACUUACUGCAAAACAAACGCUAAAGAUGUCUUCUAUUCCUAAUGCUACGGCAGUUGGAUCAAACUCCGCCGUACCUGCGUAGAUUUGACCUUUUCUCAGGAAUUUACAGUCUGCUUAUUAAUCACGAAGCCGCAGCAGCAGAUUUUUUUUUUUUUAUGGCUACUCUGAUAAACUCAACACGCUAACGCACGUUUCUGCAAACAUCUGUCUGCUAUCCAGCUGACGCGACAACUUUCACAUGCACUUUAGUUGUGGAGCUCUUCUCGGUCACCUUGACCAGCUACAAUUUAUUUAUUUCACACUCAAUCCGCUUCGGUUCAGUCAGCUAAAACAGCCCUAAGGUGUACAUUACACGUGGUCUUUUAAUCCCUUUGUAAUAAAAGUAUGUGCGUCCACGGACCACAGCAGUCCAGCGCUUUGAGAUGCUGCGAUUGGUUCCGUCAGACUCGACGUGGUGAGCAGAGUUUGAUUAAGUUUCCUGGUGUCGGCGUUCGCUCUGCGGGGCGCUGCGUCGUUCAUCCCCGCCUCAGGUGUCUGUCACACACCAGCAGGAUGCGUCGAUUCGCCGUAGCCAAACAUAUCUCCGAGCAGAUAGUUCCACCGGGGGGGGGGUUAUUGUGUUCCUCAAAACCAACUCUCAGCCAUGGCAUCCCGCUUGAUGUGCCUCUCAGGUGGCCUUCAUAUUGCCUGAAUGGAUUUUGAGCGGUGAUGUGGAACGAUUCCUUUGAGAAUGACGCCCUUUCAAAUGAAGAUAAAGUCAUUAGACAGCAGCAGCUGUCCUUGGAUCUUUGCUUUUUCCUCAACUGCGCUGGAUGAAAACGGUGUGCCGCGUGUGUUUCAAGAUGCUCUUAGGAGUGAUGCUCAUUCUCAGCGUGUUCGCAUUAAGAGCUGUUUUUCUCCAUUACUGCUUAAGGACAGUUGUCAGUUUGCCACUUGUCAAAUUUAGUUGGAUCUUUUCAGAUGAACCUUCAUCAACUUUGAAUAUUGACAUUUUAAAAGGCCCCUCGCCAACAUUCGUCCUCAUGCACACACGGGCACCGAUUGCACGGCUCAUUUCUCGAAUGACUGCGGAACGUAUGCAGCCUCCCACCGAGUGGAUGUAUUUACACGCACCUCGUCUCGUCUCGGGGAUUCCUGCCUGGCGCUCUGGCAUUCUGGCGAUUUGUUACAACCUGGCACAGAGUCUACGUCGUACCUGGAUGUGUCUGCUGUAUCUCCUCAUGCAGAAUGGCUUCUGCUGUCCCACAGGUCUGCAACAUGCUCGUCUCUACAGGUGCAGCCGGCGCCGUUGGCUUGGAGGAGGAGGAGGAGGAGGAGGAGUGGAACAAAUGUGGUUCUGUUUUUUUGGUUAACCUUUUGAUUUAACAAAAGCACGUCAAUACCCUUCUAACUGUUUGUUUGGUUUGGAAUCACACGUUUGGACACGUCACAGAAAAUAUUGUGAUUGAGAAAUUCUUCAGGUUUUAAAUGUAACGGUGUAAACGUCUCUUGUAUUUUUGUUGUUUUGUGAAAGGGGCCAAAUGAUUUGGACAACAUGGAAGUCGAAUUAAGCUAUUAUUGUUUUCCGGUACUGAAUUUGGAUCUUGGCGAGCACAGAUUGUUCCCUUUACUCGUUCUCUGAAGUGAAUUCUAUUUGUGUCGUGCGUUUUGAUGACCCAAUGUCCUUUUUAUCUUACUACUCAACAUAUUUAAGCAACACUAUAAAAUGCACCACAACAAUCUGUCCACUGACUUUGAGAUUCAAAGGAAACCCUUUGAUGCUACAGCAUGAAGUCUGCUUUCAUGAUUAACCAAAGUAAAAUAUCUGACCCGAAACACGUACAGACAUUUUGGUAUUUUGAUUUCUGCGUCCGGGUACGCUAGCGACUCCUGGCACAACCAGAGCAGGUCCAUAAAAGAGAGGACUCCCCAGUUUGGAUGUCGAAGAACUAGUCCACACAGAACCUCGACCCUGUCCAGCCCGUCUGGCGCCGACGGGAAGACCGCCGCCGAUAGACAAAGCGUCAGAGCUGGACCGUUGAAUGCGUUGAAUGGGAGCCAGAAGAGCGCAGGCUGUCACAGCAGAUUAAUACCCAUGAACGUGUGGGUGCCAUGUUCAGGUGUCCACAGAUUUAAACCCAUGAACGUGUGGGUGCCAUGUUCAGGUCUCUACAGAUUAAUACCCAUGAACGUGUGGGUGCCAUGUUCAGGUGUCCACAGAUUAAAACCCAUGAACGUGUGGGUGCCAUGUUCAGGUCUCUACAGAUUAAUACCCAUGAACGUGUGGGUGCCAUGUUC